GUUCGCUUUUUUCUAACUCACUGCAUCCCUUCUUUCUCUCUUGUGUUUUGAAUCUUUUUGUUGGAAUAGUUUGUAGUCGCUGUUCCCGAUCAACCGGUAUGAAAUUAGUGUUUAGCUAACGUGAUUCGUGAAAUUGCUGAUGCAGAUAUUGUUGUAGACAACUGUGCUAUUUGCAGGAACCAUAUUAUGGACCUCUGAGUAUUUUGAAGAUUUUCUUUAGCUUCUCUUUUUACCUAAAAACGAAAAAGAUGGAUACUUUAUCCUCUAUUUAUUUGUUCCAUUGUGUGAAAAUUGCUAUCAGGCAUCGAAUGUCAAGCUAAUCAAGCUAGUGCCACUAGCGAGGAGUGCACUGUUGCUUGGGGUGUAUGUAACCAUGCCUUUCAUUUCCACUGCAUCAGUCGAUGGCUCAAAACCCGUCAAGUGUGCCCAUUAGAUAACAGUGAGUGGGAGUUUCAGAAGUAUGGUCACUAGUAGGAUUCAUUAAAUUGCAGCAAGGGGAAAGGCAAAAAGAAAAAAAAAUUGCAGCAAGGGGGGAUCAUCUGAUCAUGCUGUUGCAUCUAUAUUACAUGACUCCUAAUGUAGUGCGACCCGGAAACUCUUUUUUCAAGUGCUUUUCGUUUGUGACGCCACAAAUGAGACUGCUUUCUAUUGGGGAUAGGAUUUAUUGGAACUGGUAUUCAAUUGCACAUAUCAUGUGAGUUGUGGAAUCUUUCAUUGUUCUAUUGCAAAAGUUAAGCCUGUGUUGCUGUUGAUUAUGUUA